UACGUAGGUGGCGAGCGUUAUCCGGAAUUACUGGGCGUAAAGCGUGCGCAGGCGGUGAUGUAAGACAGUUGUGAAAUCCCCGGGCUCAACCUGGGAACUGCAUCUGUGACUGCAUCGCUGGAGUGCGGCAGAGGGGGAUGGAAUUCCGCGUGUAGCAGUGAAAUGCGUAGAUAUGCGGAGGAACACCGAUGGCGAAGGCAAUCCCCUGGGCCUGCACUGACGCUCAUGCACGAAAGCGUGGGGAGCAAACAGG
rnacentral:rRNA from 1 species